rnacentral:tRNA from 1 species
ACAGUAUUAUUAUAAUUAAUAUACUAUCUUUCCAAGUUAGAGAUCCUUUAGGUUUAGGAUACUGUA